UUAAGUCUUUUUUAACUUUUUUUUUUUAAAUAACAAUAAAGGCAUCAUGUAAACGAUACCGUUGCAUCGUAGCAAUGGGUCAUCCGCGUCCUAACCGCGCGCAUCGCCCGGAAAAUUUAGCCGGCCUGUUUUGUCGAGUCGUGUCGCCGCGUCUCUAUUUUCUCUCUUCAUGUGUUAGUUUUUUUGCUUCGCUUUCCUUCUAGAUAGAGAAAGUGUUAGAGCGAGAAACUGAGUGAAUCUACCAAUAAUCAAUGGCUUCCUCCAAUGAACGAGAGAACCUUGUCUUCAUCGCCAAGCUCGCUGAGCAAGCCGAACGCUAUGACGAAAUGGUGGAUACCAUGAAGAAAGUAGCUAAACUCGAUGUAGAAUUGACAGUAGAGGAAAGAAACCUACUCUCUGUGGGGUACAAGAACGUGAUAAGUGCGCGUAGAGCGUCAUGGAGGAUCUUAUCAUCGAUUGAACAAAAGGUGGAAGCUAAGGGAAAUGACCAAAAUGUGAAGCGGAUCAAAGGGUAUAGACAGAAGGUUGAAUCGGAGCUUUCAAGUAUUUGCACUGAUAUAAUGACUCUGAUUGAUGAGCAUCUCGUCCCUUCGUCUUCUGGUGCAGAAUCCACCGUGUUUUAUUAUAAGAUGAAAGGAGAUUAUUAUCGGUAUUGGGCAGAGUUCAAGACGGGGGAUGAGAAAAAAGAAGUUGCUGACCAAUCAAUGAAGGCAUAUCAGACAGCUUCUAGUAAAGCAGAAGCAGAGUUACGUCCAACACAUCCUGUCCGGCUAGGUUUGGCCUUGAACUACUCAGUUUUCUACUAUGAAAUCUUGAACUCCCCUGAAAGGGCCUGUCACCUUGCCAAACAAGCUUUUGAUGAAGCUAUCUCUGAGCUGGAUGCUUUGAGUGAGGAAUCUUACAAAGAUAGCACAUUGAUCAUGCAGCUUUUGAGGGACAAUCUCACCUUAUGGACUUCUAACAUCCCAGAGGAUGGAGAUAGCCAGUGGAUGUCCAACUGAUGAUUGGAGAGUAUGGCAUAACUGUACAUAAUAUAGAAGAAGCUCAGAAGCACAACAGCACUGCUAAAGCUAAUGGAGUCAACGAUGCAUAGUGAAACCAACAAUGGCGCGGUAAUUGUGGCGUGACGGGGGGAAAUUCAAACUGCUUUAGGAAUUAUUCUUAAGUGCCAAGAAAUUCAAGAACCAGCAUUCAGUUUUUAUCAUUGUGAUAAUAGUUUGAUGUUUGGAUAGCCAGCUUUAUUUGCAUGUUAUAGCCAGUUCUCUUCACUUGUGUUGACCAAAUCUGAGAAUUUGUAAAUGUUGAUUUAGGAGCCUUGUCUUUUGUUCCUAUGUUGUUGCUGAUACGAUGACAUGGGAUUUCCACUGCCUACUGAAGUAUGCAAAAGGCAUUUCAUAUGCUA